rnacentral:rRNA from 1 species
AGAGUUUGAUCCUGGCUCAGGACUAACGCUGGCGGCGUGCCUAACACAUGCAAGUCGAGCGGGGUAGCAAUACUCAGCGGCAGACGGGUGAGUAACACGUGGUCAACCUUCCGUUGAAUGGGGGAUAACUAGCCGAAAGGUUAGCUAAUACCGCAUACGAUCUUCGAGCGGCAUCGCUUGAAGAUGAAAGAAGCAAUUCG